GUCCCCUUGUUCGUUCGGCCUCAGCUGGAGUUGCUCACUGGUGACAGGGAAUCUGACGUCUAAUCACAGUUAAUCGAGGAGAGAUGAUAGGAACUGAAAAAUGCAGCGACGGUGGCCGGAGAAGAAGGUGAUAAAGCAACAGAAUCAAAUAAAAAACUCGGGGUCUGAAAUCAAAACAGAGCAUCCUUUUCUUAGCCAAAUCCGGCGACUAUUCAGCUGGAAUCCAUCGUCCAAUGACUAGGAAAGUUGGGAAGAAGAAUUAAUUAGAGAAUAAGUCGAUCCUUUCCUGGAUUCUGACGGUCUGUGAACCCGAUUUUCAGCAGGGUUCUCCGAUGGUUGCUUCAAAGGAGAGGCCAUGCUUUUAAAUAGAAGGCCGAUCAGAGGUGGAAGGAAGCCGAUAGCAGUAUUGACUCCCAUGAGGGGUUGGAGUCAGAGUUGGAGGAGGAAAGAAAGACUCCUUUGGGAGCCUAGCAGCUUCAACAAUUUAUGUGGCAACUGGUGUUUUCGUAGAGAAGUUCAAGUGACAGCUAUGUCUCCUAGGAGGCAUUUUAGAAUCUUUUAGGUUGGCUUUGCUUUUGUUGACAAAUCUUGUGCGGUGCAAUUUAGACAGCUAUGAAGUUGGACUUUGCGUACUUAAAUGCAUG
rnacentral:lncRNA from 1 species